UGAUCACAAAUGUUCUUCAAAGACAGAGGCAAGAGGGUCAGAGUCAGAGAAGGAGAUGUGAGGGGUGAUAUGAGGAAGGGGCAGGAGCCAGAGCUUCCACUAGAAGCUCAAAAGGCAAGAAAGCACAUUCUCCCCCAGAGCUUCCAAGAGGAACACAGCCCUGCUGCUGGUGCCUUGAUUGCAGACUUCUCCAGGACAGUGGGAUGAUGAAUUUGUGUUAUUUUCAGUCACCAGAUUUGGGGGCAUUCGUUCCAACACCAACAGGAAGCAAGUAUGGUGUGUGAUUCGGUUUCCACCCUCCGUAACAGGGCUGCUAGAUUAUAGGAACCUGCUCUCAUAGUUGCCCAGACCAAUGAUAGAUAGUGUUAUUGGACCUCCAACUUCCCCACCGAUAGAUGGAGAUGGUGAUAUCUAACACGAACGCUAUGAACAUUAAACCUGCUGAUGAGCAAGAGUCUCCAGAACACAUGACUUCCAGGGAAAAGGAUCCAUGGUGGCUGCAUGAAUCAUUUUCUAAAUGAUGGACGCCUAGAACAUUCUUUGGGUCUGACCAACAUCUCUUGACAUGGAAACCCUUUUAAUGGGCCAAAUCUACUCAGAAGACAACUCCUCGCCCCCUUUUUGGGUGGGGUCUGAUUGGAAAACAGAUGAGGGAAGGGGUCAUGGGCACUUCCAGACAGGGAAUGACAUGGGUUUCAGGGAGUAAAGAGCAUCAGGGCUUUGCUGCUAGGACACCUCUGAGCAUAUCUAGGUAUGCCCCAACUGAGGCAUUGCCACCAGAGCAGAUCCUUGGAUUGCCCCCCAAAAGGGACCUUCCUUUGAACCAGUGCUCUCUGUCCUUGCACCUCCCUGCAUUGGGCUCUGGAGUCCACAGAGAACAUAGGAAGUCUGUCUCGGUGAGGUGUCCUGGCAGGACCCAGCCUUCUGCCUCGCCAGCUGGGGGCUGAUCCCCCAGGGCAGACCCAGAGACAGCCAGUAGCAGGCUUCCCCAUCAUUAAGUUUGCAGGCAGAGACAAUCCCAACCAGGAAAGGGCAGACCCACUGGAGAAGCAAGUAUUCCUCUUCCUUCACAGGAGGGCAAGGCACCCGGUUCCCAUUUCAGAUGGCGGACUACACCCACAAGGUCAAGCAAACCUCCUGAGGGAAGAGCCCGGAGACCAGAGCUCUUGGUCAACCAGAGGGUUCAACUAUACAGCACACCCUGUAGCAUACCCCUUUAUGUGUCAAGCACUGGGCCAGACACCAGGCUGCACAGAAUAACAAGACCCUCUUCCUGCUCAGUAUACAAAUGUGACAUCUGGAUGUGCAACAGCUGUCUUGUAACUCUGAGGGUGAAAGCCUCAAGUUACAGUGGAGGGAUGGACAGACAGAAGGGUCCUGGAUCCUUGAUGGCAACAUGGAGACCCCACUGAGCCACCGUACAAGCCCCAGGUGGCCUCCUUAUGAGUUAUCUAUUGCUGCACAAUAA